GGCUCAGGAUGAACGCUAGCGGCAGGCUUAAUACAUGCAAGUCGAGGGCCUAGCAAUAGGACCGGCGCACGGGUGCGUAACACGUAUGCAACCUGCCUGUAUCUGGGGAUAGCCCGAGGAAACUCGGAUUAAUACCGCAUACCACUGAGGAUUGGCAUCAAUUUUCAGUGAAAGAUUUAUCGGAUACAGAUGGGCAUGCGCAGGAUUAGCUAGUUGGUGUGGUAACGGCACACCAAGGCGACGAUCCUUAGGGGCUCUGAGAGGAGUAACCCCCACACUGGCACUGAGAUACGGGCCAGACUCCUACGGGAGGCAGCAGUAGGGAAUAUUGGGCAAUGGAUGCAAGUCUGACCCAGCCAUGCCGCGUGCAGGAAGAAGGUCCUCUGGAUUGUAAACUGCUUUUAUCGGGGAAGAAUAGUUUUCUUGCGAGGGAAUGUGACGGUACCCGAUGAAUAAGCCACGGCUAACUACGUG
rnacentral:rRNA from 1 species